AACGAACGCUGGCGGCAUGCCUAACACAUGCAAGUCGAACGAGACCUUCGGGUCUAGUGGCGCACGGGUGCGUAACGCGUGGGAAUCUGCCCUUGGGUUCGGAAUAACAGUUGGAAACGACUGCUAAUACCGGAUGGUGACGUAAGUCCAAAGAUUUAUCGCCCAAGGAUGGGCCCGCGUAGGAUUAGCUAGUUGGUGAGGUAAAGGCUCACCAAGGCGACGAUCCUUAGCUGGUCUGAUAGGAUGAUCAGCCACACUGGGACUGAGACACGGCCCAGACUCCUACGGGAGGGAGCAGUGGGGAAUAGUGUACAAUGGGGGAAAGCCUGAUCCAGCAAUGCCGCGUGAGUGAUGAAGGCCUUAGGGUUGUAAAGCUCUUUUACCCGGGAUGAUAAUGACAGUACCGGGUGAAGAAGCGCCGGCUAACUCCGUG
rnacentral:rRNA from 1 species